rnacentral:misc_RNA from 1 species
GAAAUGCGAUAAGUAGUGUGAAUUGCAGAAUUCAGUGAAUCAUCGAAUCUUUGAACGCACAUUGCGCCCCUUGGUAUUCCAUGGGGCAUGCCUGUUCGAGCGUCAUUUGUACCCUCAAGCUCUGCUUGGUGUUGGGUGUUUGUCCCGUCUCCGCGCGUGGACUCGCCCCAAAGUGAUUGGCAGCCGGCGUACUGGUCCCGGAGCCCAGCACAUGUCGCGCAAACGAGUGCCUUGGUACGGCGGCGUCCAUAAGCCCCUCUCUCACGCUCUUGACCUCGGAUCAGGUAGGGAUACCCGCUGAACUUAAGC